GACGAACGCUGGCGGCGUGCUUAACACAUGCAAGUCGAGCGGAAAGGCCCUUCGGGGUACUCGAGCGGCGAACGGGUGAGUAACACGUGAGUAACCUGCCCCAGACUUUGGGAUAACCCUCGGAAACGGGGGCUAAUACCGGAUACGACACAGGUUCGCAUGGGCUCUGUGUGGAAAGUUUUUCGGUUUGGGAUGGGCUCGCGGCCUAUCAGCUUGUUGGUGGGGUGAUGGCCUACCAAGGCGACGACGGGAGCCGGCCUGAGAGGGCGACCGGCCACACUGGGACUGAGACACGGCCCAGACUCCUACGGGAGGCAGCAGUGGGGAAUAUUGCACAAUGGGCGGAAGCCUGAUGCAGCGACGCCGCGUGAGGGAUGACGGCC
rnacentral:rRNA from 1 species